rnacentral:rRNA from 1 species
AUUGAACGCUGGCGGCAGGCUUAACACAUGCAAGUCGAGCGGAGAUAAGGUGCUUGCACCUUAUCUUAGCGGCGGACGGGUGAGUAAUGCUUAGGAAUCUGCCUAUUAGUGGGGGACAACAUUCCGAAAGGAAUGCUAAUACCGCAUACGCCCUACGGGGGAAAGCAGGGGAUCUUCGGACCUUGCGCUAAUAGAUGAGCCUAAGUCGGAUUAGCUAGUUGGUGGGGUAAAGGCCUACCAAGGCGACGAUCUGUAGCGGGUCUGAGAGGAUGAUCCGCCACACUGGGACUGAGACACGGCCCAGAGUCCUACGGGAGGCAGCAGUGGGGAAUAUUGGACAAUGGGCGGAAGCCUGAUCCAGCCAUGCCGCGUGUGUGAAGAAGGCCUUUUGGUUGUAAAGCACUUUAAGCGAGGAGGAGGCUACCUGGAUUAAUACUCUAGGAUAGUGGACGUUACUCGCAGAAUAAGCACCGGCUAACCCUGUGCCAGCCGCCGCCGUAAUAC